rnacentral:rRNA from 1 species
CUCCUACGGGAGGCAGCAGUGAGGAAUAUUGGUCAAUGGGUUUACGCCUGAACCAGCCAAGUCGCGUGAGGGAAGACUGCCCUAUGGGUUGUAAACCUCUUUUGUCAGGGGGCAGUUGGCGCUACGUGUAGCGUUAUCGAGAGUACCUGAAGAAAAAGCAUGGGCUAACUCCGUGCCAGCAGCCGCGGGAAUACGGAGGAUGCGAGCGUGAUCCGGUAUUAUUGGGUUUAA